rnacentral:rRNA from 1 species
AUGCACCCUAAAGCAAGUAAGCAGCUGCCCUCCCCUACAAAGAGUACAUGCGAGCACAAAUUCAUCGUACUACCAGCUAGGCACCCAUCCAGCCAGAGAUCAAUGGCGAACCUAAAGAAGGUUGGACCGUAUGGAUAUGGUAGCCUUGAUGGUAAUAUUGUGGACAUCGAUUGGAACAAAUCGCCAGAGGAACUCGUGAGCAUCGAGAUUUGGGGCAACCACAAUGCCGGAGGGAUGAUCUAUGCCAUGUCCUUCACCUACCGUGAUGAGAAAGGGGAUUUAGUCCCGGUAGGUCCAUGGGGUAGCAAGAAAGGCGAAAAACGCACGAUCUCCAUUGCAAAUAAUUUGGUCGCACUCAGGGGCAGCACCAGCGGCAGCUACGUCACCUCGCUCACAUUCAAAACCAGCAUCACCCAGUACGGGGAUUCUUUCUUUUGCGGGGAUACCGUAAGCGACGAUAAUUUCUCCAUCGAUGUGCGCCCCAACUCCAUCGUUGCCUUUUUCGGCCGCUCCGACGAAGGUGGCCUCAGGGCCAUCGGAGCCUAUUCUGGUCCCCGGGCCGCCUCAGUGCCGUCGGCCAGGCUUGAUCGAUCUUUUCGUCAUGGUAGCGUCUAUGGUAAUGCUGUCGACAUCAAUCGCAACAACCCGCCGGAAAAACUCUUAAGCAUCGAGAUUUGGAGCAAGAACGGCCCCAAUGGAAUGAUGAAUGGCAUAUCCUUCAUCUACCGUGAUGAGGAUGGGGGUUUUGUCCCGACAGAUCCAGCAUGGGGCAUCAAGCAAGGUCAAAGACAACUGAUCCCCAUUGAAGAUGAAGAUGAAUAUUUGAUCACACUCACCGGCAGCACCAACAGCACGAACGUUACCUCGCUCACAUUCAAAACAAACAAAAAUAUAUAUGGGCCGUACGGGAAGAGCCAACCAGCAGAUACUCCUUUCUGCAUCGAUGUGGGCCCCAACAACUCCAUCGUUGCCUUCUACGGCCGCGCCGACGAAGGUGGCCUCAGGGCCAUCGGAGCCCAUAUAUAUUCUGGUCCCCAGGCUUGA